rnacentral:rRNA from 1 species
GAGUUUGAUCGUGGCUCAGAUUGAACGCUGGCGGCAUGCCUUACACAUGCAAGUCGAACGGCAGCACGGGAGCUUGCUCCUGGUGGCGAGUGGCGAACGGGUGAGUAAUGCAUCGGAACGUAUCCUGGAGUGGGGGAUAACGUAGCGAAAGUUACGCUAAUACCGCAUAUUCUGUGAGCAGGAAAGCGGGGGACCUUCGGGCCUCGCGCUCUUGGAGCGGCCGAUGUCGGAUUAGCUAGUUGGUGAGGUAAAGGCUCACCAAGGCGACGAUCCGUAGCAGGUCUGAGAGGAUGAUCUGCCACACUGGAACUGAGACACGGUCCAGACUCCUACGGGAGGCAGCAGUGGGAAUUUGGACAAUGGGGCAACCCUGAUCCAGCCAUGCCGCGUGAGUG